GACGAACCGUGUGAACGUUAUUCGGAAUCACUGGGCUUAAAGCGCGUGUAGGCGGCCCGGCACGUCGACGGCUGAAAUCCCCCGGCUCAACCGGGGAAGGGGCCUCGAUACGACCGGGCUGGAGGGGGGUAGGGGGCGCCGGAACUCACGGUGGAGCGGUGAAAUGCGUAGAUAUCAUUUGGAACGCCAACGGCGAAAGCAGGCAGCUGGGGAUGCACCGACGCUGAGACACGAAAGCCAGGGGAGCGAACGGG
rnacentral:rRNA from 1 species